GGAGGAGGCAGGUGUCCAGGAGAGUCCAGGAUCGGCUCUCCUGUACCUCGGCGCCUCGUCUGAGGAUAAAGGCACGCGUGGUCAGCCUUUUACCCGUUGAAUGACAGCCAUAGCUUUCGCCCACCAACUCGACCCAUCCGCGACCGAACACCAAACUCCAGGGAACCGCGGCGCAAACUCAGCUAGGUGGAAGUGUUGUAUUUUGCAAAAAGCGCUGAAAUAGCAGGAAUUCGCUCAGAGACCAUUUCUGUGCCGCAAGAAAUAAAAGCAUUGCAGCUGUGGAAUGAGAUAGAAACACGCCAUCCAGGAUUGGCUGAUGUCAGAAAUCAAGUGAUAUUUGCUGUUCGUCAAGAAUAUGUCGAGCUUGGAGAUCAGCUCCUCCUGCUUCAAUCAGGAGACGAAAUUGCCAUUAUCCCUCCCAUUAGUGGAGGGUAGUACUUUUGAGCCCCCUGGAACAGAUAUGAAUGAAGUUGAAGAGAAAUCUAAAGAUAUAAUAAAAUUCACACCUGAGAAACUUUCAGUAGAUGAAGUCUCACAGCUGGUGAUUUCUCCACUCUGUGGCGCAAUAUCCCUAUUUGUAGGGACUACAAGGAAUAAUUUCGAAGGGAAAAAAGUCAUUAGCUUAGAGUAUGAAGCGUAUCUACCAAUGGCAGAAAAUGAGAUAAGAAAAAUUUGUAGUGACAUUAGACAGAAAUGGCCAGUCAAACACAUAGCAGUGUUUCAUCGACUUGGCUUGGUUCCAGUGACAGAAGCAAGCGUUAUCAUUGCUGUGUCCUCAGCCCACAGGGCUGCAUCCCUUGAAGCUGUGAGCUAUGCCAUUGAUGCUUUAAAAGCCAGGGUGCCCAUAUGGAAAAAGGAAAUCUAUGAAGAAUCAUCAUCAUCUUGGAAAAGAAACAAAGAAUGCUUUUGGGCAACCAGUGAUUAAACCACUUAGGUUUUUAGAGCCCUAAAAUUUAAACUGGGCACAUAUUUCUUUCUAGAGAUAAGUUGUGCUUCAGAGUGGUGCUUCUCAAACUGUAGCAUACUACGCAAAAUGAAUCCCGGAACUGUGCAGACAGCCCUGCGCCUCCAUCACAGACACACACGCGGGCACGUGCCUGCUUUCCUGACUUCCGAGUCACAUUCUGGGAGGAUUGUCUAUUUGUAUUAUAAGAAACCCAGACAAUGGGUUUUUAAAAGUUGAAAGUGUCACUACUGAGCUCCACCCCAGUGUCCCCCAUUUUAUAACGAGGACGCUGAAGUUUCAGAGGCUGAGCGACUUGUCUGAAGCUUUAAGUAUGUAUUUUCUGACAGAAAAUAGUCCCCACAGCCUUUGCCUCUGCGCUUUCUCUCUCAGGCCCGCCUAGAGGGUGAACCUAGAAACUAACAGAGAAAAGAAGGUGCAGCGGAGGAAUGGAUGGUGUUCCGCAAGGUGGCCCAUUUACAUCAUAAGGACCUGGACCUUUGUUAAAAUACAGGUCAUCAGGCUUCAUCCCAAUUUGUUGACUAAAUAAGAUUAUCAGGAAUUGGGGCCUGAGACUCUCUGGUGAGCAAACUCCCAGGUUAAAGCCAUUCUUCUGGAAAUGUAAGUUCUCCAGAACCAAGCACAGCAGGUGCUUACUAGGUGGUUUCUAAGGUCUUGUAAUUUCCUGCAAAUUCCUGAGAUUAUUUAUAUUUUACCUUGUUUACCCUGCCUGAAAUAUCAACAAUUAGAAGUUCACUUGGGCUUAAUUUUUCUUACAUAUUUAGCCAACUGAAAACAGCUCCCUGAAGUUAAGGGGAUUAUACAGUAACUCACGCAAGUGCGGGAAGUGGAACGGAUGACUUCCUCCUCACACCUGGGGAAGAGCCCCUGCCCUGGGAGUGGAGGUUUGGACACGAGUCCCAGGAGGGUGGAAAACUCCGGACUCCUGGAGAGGAAGGUGGGCAGCUGCAGGCUUGCAGAAUAUGGAGCACCAGGACAUGGGAGAGGUUCAUUGUGGAAGCAGAAAGGAUUCCAAAGCAAUUACUCAAAUUUCAAAAAUUGACAAGGUGCCAGCCAGGUCAGCCAGUUUUCAUCCUAAAGGAGAAAGGAAAUGUCUUUCUUCUUCCCAGAGGGGACUCCAGCAGACAAGAUUUUACUAUAAAUGUUAUAGAUGCUAAACAAAAGUUAGUGCUGUGGCUUCUAAACCCUUUAGGCCCCUAACCCUCGGCCACUUAAGAGGAGAUUCCGUCUGCAGGAGGCUCCUACCAGUCAUCAAGCAUGUUUUGAUAAGCACAUCAUCACAAGAAACGGGACCCUGGGAAACAGCUGUGGGCUGACAACAGCAAGUUUUACCUCGUUUAUAAACAAAAUUAUCACUGAAAAUAUCCUCUGUGGCAACUUUGGACAAGCAGCAAAAGUUGACCUGUUUUUUUCCCCCAACAGUAUCAAAAUCCAAGUUAAUGAUGUAUCUACACCUACUACUUCCACUUGUUUAAAAACAGUCGUUUUAAAUAA